GGCUAUAGCUCAGCUGGGAGAGAGCUUGCAUGGCAUGCAAGAGGUCAGCGGUUCGAUCCCGCUGCUG
rnacentral:tRNA from 1 species